rnacentral:rRNA from 1 species
GACAGAGGGGGCAAGCGUUGCUCGGAAUCACUGGGCGUAAAGGGCGCGUAGGCGGGAUGGCAAGUCAGUCGUGAAAUCUCUCGGCUCAACCGAGAAACGUCGGCUGAUACUGCCGUUCUUGAGGGAUGCAGAGGAGACUGGAAUUCCCGGUGUAGCGGUGAAACGUGUAGAGAUCGGGAGGAACACCGGUGGCGAAGGCGGGUCUCUGGGCAUUUCCUGACGCUGAGGCGCGAAAGCGUGGGGAGCAAACAGG